AACGAACGCUGGCGGCGUGCCUAACACAUGCAAGUCGAACGAGAAUUUUCCUUUCGGGGGAAUAGUAAAGUGGCGCAAGGGUGAGUAACACGUGAAUAAUCUGCCUACGAAUUCGGGAUAACGCGGGGAAACCUGUGCUAAUACCGGAUAAGAUCACGUCUCUUAUGUGAUGUGGCCAAAGGAGUCUCAAACUCCGUUUGUAGAUGAGUUCGCGGACCAUUAGCUUGUUGGAGGGAUAACAGCCCCCAAGGCGACGAUGGUUAGCCGGCCUGAGAGGGUGAUCGGCCACACUGGAACUGAGAUACGGCCCAGACUCCUACGGGAGGCAGCAGUGGGGAAUUUUGCGCAAUGAGGGGAACCUUGACGCAGCAACGCCGCGUGAUCGAAG
rnacentral:rRNA from 1 species